rnacentral:rRNA from 1 species
GAUGAACGCUGGCGGCGUGCCUAAUACAUGCAAGUCGAGCGAACAGAUGAGGAGCUUGCUCCUCUGACGUUAGCGGCGGACGGGUGAGUAACACGUGGAUAACCUACCUAUAAGACUGGGAUAACUUCGGGAAACCGGAGCUAAUACCGGAUAAUAUAUUGAACCACAUGGUUCAAUAGUGAAAGACGGUUUUGCUGUCACUUAUAGAUGGAUCCGCGCCGCAUUAGCUAGUUGGUAAGGUAACGGCUUACCAAGGCAACGAUGCGUAGCCGACCUGAGAGGGUGAUCGGCCACACUGGAACUGAGACACGGUCCAGACUCCUACGGGAGGCAGCAGUAGGGAAUCUUCCGCAAUGGGCGAAAGCCUGACGGAGCAACGCCGCGUGAGUGAUGAAGGUCUUCGGAUCGUAAAACUCUGUUAUUAGGGAAGAACAAAUGUGUAAGUAACUAUGCACGUCUUGACGGUACCUAAGCAGAAAGCCACGGCUAACUACGU